GUGCUUUUUAUAUUCUGAGACCUGAAAUGUUGAUUUGGGCUUUGCGCUAUUUAAAGUUUAUUCAAGGCAACUUUAAAUCAUGGAUCAGGUUUUUCAGAAUAACAAGAGAAUUUGCUGUUUUUACGGUCGUUGUUUAUUCAGUUCUUUUUACCUAUGACUGGAGAAAGAGAGCACAUGAUACAGACACCAAACCUCGCAUAUUUUCUGCAGUAUUAUUUGGAAUUGUUGUGCUGAGUUGUCUCAUCUUGAGUAUAGUUGAUGUCUCAAGGCGUCCCAGUCAAGAACGGCCAAGCAGGGCUUCCCAAUGCAACCAAACUCUAAGUGAACACAAUUUUUUGCAAAGUACUAUUAAUUCUAGAAAAAUGUAGUUUAAUAUAAACUACGUGUUAAUGAGUUGAUAAAGCACAUGAAAACAAAA
rnacentral:lncRNA from 1 species